GGACUACUGGGGUAUCUAAUCCUGUUUGCUCCCCUGGCUUUCGUGCCUCAGUGUCAGGUAUUGUCCAGGGACUCGCCUUCGCCACUGGUGUUCCACUUGAUAUCUACGCAUUUCACUGCUACACCAAGUAUUCCAGUCCCCCCUCCAAUCCUCAAAGCAAGGUAGUUUCCAAUGCCAUUUCCAAGUUGAGCUUGGAGAUUUCACAUCCGACUUUCCUCACCACCUACGCACCCUUUACGCCCAGUGAAUCCGAACAACGCUCGGGACCUCUGUAUUACCGCGGCUGCUGGCAC
rnacentral:rRNA from 2 species